GUCUCAUUCUGUCUUCCAACACUAGAGUGCAGUGGUGCCAUUUCAGCUGACUGCAGCCUGGUCUUCCUGGUCUCUAGCAAUCCUCCCAUCUCAGCUUUCUGCGUAGUUGGGAUCACAGAAAGAGAAUUUGAUUCAUCAAGCCACCUAAAAGAAAACGAGAACAUGAAAUAAACACAUAUGAAAGGUAUUAACUCUUUCUUAACCUCAGUCUCCUCGAAAGCAGAGCCUAAGUCAAGACCCUGGACCAGUGAUGAUUUAGAAAAUGAUCUCUGAAAGCAAGAAAGAGAAGCCAAAGGAGUUGACUGAGGUGUGAAUUUGUGACUGCCUCAUGCUUUAUCACAGUUAUCAUCCUUCAUGAAUCAGAGAUUUCCCAGAGGAGGAAAUGGAAGAUCCAUAGCAAAAUUUGCAUCAGGAGGCUGACCUUGCACCUAACAAGAAUAAUCAAAGCCUGCUUAAAAGUGGUUGCAGAUAAAACAACUUGAGGUGGAGUUGGGACCAAGAGUACUUGUCAUGGCAUGCAACUGUUGACCUAUAACACCUGCAGUACUGCUCCAUGCAGUGUUAACUAAAGAACUAACUGAUAUGAGUUACUUUGAUCACAAAGUACAAUUUUUAUAACAGUACUACUUAGGUGAAAUCUAUUGAAUUAAAGUAUAAAGUAAUUUUUAUUUUUCAACAUCUUGAAUCUACUAUUUUAGAAUUUCUAGGAUGUUAUAAAAGCAAGAAGAACCAUAUCAACUGAGGAUUUAGAAACAAAGUGACAAGGGAACCUGGAGGAAACAUAUUUUCAGCUGGAGAUUGAACACAUGACCACCAGGAAAAUUGUUACAACCUGGAAGUACGUUGGAAAUAAAUUUGAGCUUCCUCAAAUUUAUUUGAGGAAAGCAGGGUUAGGAAAGCAGGGUUAGGAAAGAGGGUUAGGAAAGCAGGAAUUUUUGUGAGGAAAAGGAAAAUUAUGAAGACAUAGAAGAUUGUUUUCUGACCAAAAACGAUGGUUUAUUUAUAGUUUAGAUGUUCUGUAAUCAAAACCAAAUCAUCUAUGAAAUAAUUUGAACUUUGAUAUAUGUUUUGUUAUCUGGGGAAAAUAGUUUGCUGUUUUGAAAAAUUCACACACUUAAUUGGCAGACUUCUCAAAACAGUUGUUUUUAGUAAAACAGUACAUACUCUUUAGCUGUUUAUAGUUGAAAUAACUGUAAGGCUUGUAUUAAAAAACUAGAAAGAGUAAAAUUUAAUUAACCUAACAAAUGAACACAGAAGAAACAGGAUGCAUCCACAGGUGGUAAAUCAUUUCAACUGUGAGUGAAAUGGGAAAGCAAAAGUAAUAGCCAGCUGUUCAGAGCAGUGCAAAUUGUACGCAGCAAACCUGAACUGAAAAUCCAAGCUAUGGCUUAAUGUAAUUCCUUCAAGGCAACAGAUGCUCAUAGAGGUAGAGAGGAGGAGGGCAAUUUAUUGUAGAAAAUUACAUUUUUAUUAUGAUCUGUGAUCUAGAUAUUAAAUUGAAGAUCUCUCAUAGUCGGUAGUCCAAUAUUGGAAACACAAUUUAGUUCUACUAGCAUAGAAAAUUAAGAUUCAGUAUUCAGUAUUAAGCUUCAGUAUUCAGUAAUACUUAGUAUAACCAUCUGGAAUGAGACCCUGUUAGUAUACCAUUCACUCUUAGGCAGAUGCUAGACAAACUGUAUGGAGUAUAAAAAAUGAAAUAAUUAAAGGUCUUUCUCAAAAUAAAAUAUUUUUUCAUUGUUUACAGAGAGUAGAAAAAGAAAAAGAUUCAAUAUUUAUUUAAUAACUGACAAAAAUGAUGAACAAAUCAAUAGAAAAAUAUAGACAUAAUUUUUUUCUUAAUAAACACAUAAUAUGAACCAUAGUAAAUAAUAAUCACCCACAAUAUUAAAGCAACCAGGAGAUUCCAUUAAUGAAAAUGGCAGGAAAAAAGACACUAAUUAUCUCCACCAAAAUAAUCACAUAUUGGUGUUUCCAUAAUUUUAGUAGUUAUAAUUGUGUUUAAUUAGGAUUUCCCACCACAUGAAAAAUUAUUCCUGAAUGUGAGGAAUUUCCAAAACAUUUUUUUAAAAAACUAAUUUGAGGCCAGACACAGUGGCUCAUACCUGUAAUUCCAGCAUCUUGGGAGGCUGAAGUGGGUGGAUCAUUUGAGGUCAAGAGUUCAAGACCAGGCUGGCCAACAUGGUGAAACCCUGUUUCUACUAAAAAUACAAAAAUUAGUCAGCCAUGAUGGCAUGCACACCUGUAGUCCCAGCUACUCGGGAGGCUGAGGCAGGAGAAUCACUUGAACCGGGGAAGUGGAGGUUGCAGUGAGCCGACAUCAAGCCACUGCACUCAAGCCUGGGAGACAGAGCAAGAUACCAUCUCAAAAAAGAAAAAAAAACUAAUUUGUUUAAGAAUUAUAGUAUAUGCACUACAUAUCUGAGAGAGGAUUUAAAUAUUUUACCACUUCUUUUAAAAUGAGGAAAUCCUGCAGCUUUAAGCUGUCUUUGAUAUUUUCAUUAGCAUAUGUGUUACAGUCACGUAAAUUAUGAACCAAGAACACAAUGU
rnacentral:lncRNA from 1 species